UUCUCUGGACACCUAUAUUGGCUUUAUAUACAGGCACCUACACAGACAUCUCCAAGGUGGAUAUUAACUAGGACACCUCACUACCACACUAUGACAGGUAAAGUAGUUAGGACACCUCACUAUGACAGGUAAAGUAGCUAGGACACCUCACUACCUCACUAUGACAGGUAAAGUAGUUAGGACACCUCACUAUGACAGGUAAAGUAGCUAGGACACCUCACUACCACACUAUGACAGGUAAAGUAGUUAGGACACCUCACUACCUCACUAUGACAGGUAAAGUAGUUAGGACACCUCACUAUUACACUAUGACAGGUAAAGUAGUCAGGACACCUCACUACCACACUAUGACAGGUAAAGUAGUUAGGACACCUCACUAUUACACUAUGACAGGUAAAGUAGUCAGGACACCUCACUACCACACUAUGACAGGUAAAGUAGCUAGGACACCUCACUACCACACUAUGACAGGUAAAGUAGUUAGGACACCUCACUACCACACUAUGACAGGUAAAGUAGCCAGGACACCUCACUAUGACAGGUAAAGUAGCCAGGACACCUCACUAUGACAGGUAAAGUAGCUAGGACACCUCACUACCUCACUAUGACAGGUAAAGUAGCUAGGACACCUCACUAUGACAGGUAAAGUAGUUAGGACACCUCACUACCACACUAUGACAGGUAAAGUAGUUAGGACACCUCACUACCACACUAUGACAGGUAAAGUAGCCAGGACACCUCACUAUGACAGGUAAAGUAGUUAGGACACCUCACUAUGACAGGUAAAGUAGUUAGGACACCUCACUACCACACUAUGACAGGUAAAGUAGUUAGGACACCUCACUAUGACAGGUAAAGUAGCUAGGACACCUCACUACCACACUAUGACAGGUAAAGUAGCUAGGACACCUCACUACCACACUAUGACAGGUAAAGUAGUUAGGACACCUCACUACCACACUAUGACAGGUAAAGUAGUUAGGACACCUCACUACCACACUAUGACAGGUAAAGUAGUUAGGACACCUCACUACCACACUAUGACAGGUAAAGUAGUUAGGACACCUCACUAUGACAGGUAAAGUAGCUAGGACACCUCACUACCUCACUAUGACAGGUAAAGUAGUUAGGACACCUCACUAUGACAGGUAAAGUAGCUAGGACACCUCACUAUGACAGGUAAAGUAGUCAGGACACCUCACUACCACACUAUGACAGGUAAAGUAGCUAGGACACCUCACUACCACACUAUGACAGGUAAAGUAGUCAGGACACCUCACUAUGACAGGUAAAGUAGUUAGGACACCUCACUACCACACUAUGACAGGUAAAGUAGUCAGGACACCUCACUAUGACAGGUAAAGUAGUUAGGACACCUCACUACCACACUAUGACAGGUAAAGUAGUCAGGACACCACACUAUGACAGGUAAAGUAGUCAGGACACCUCACUACCACACUAUGACAGGUAAAGUAGUUAGGACACCUCACUACCACACUAUGACAGGUAAAGUAGUCAGGACACCUCACUACCACACUAUGACAGGUAAAGUAGUUAGGACACCUCACUAUGACAGGUAAAGUAGUUAGGACACCUCACUACCACACUAUGACAGGUAAAGUAGCUAGGACACCUCACUACCACACUAUGACAGGUAAAGUAGCUAGGACACCUCACUACCACACUAUGACAGGUAAAUUAGUCAGGACACCUCACUACCACACUAUGACAGGUAAAGUAGCUAGGACACCUCACUACCACACUAUGACAGGUAAAGUAGUCAGGACACCUCACUACCACACUAUGACAGGUAAAGUAGUUAGGACACCUCACUAUGACAGGUAAAGUAGUUAGGACACCUCACUACCACACUAUGACAGGUAAAGUAGUUAGGACACCUCACUAUGACAGGUAAAGUAGCUAGGACACCUCACUACCACACUAUGACAGGUAAAGUAGCUAGGACACCUCACUAUGACAGGUAAAGUAGUCAGGACACCUCACUACCACACUAUGACAGGUAAAGUAGCCAGGACACCUCACUACCACACUAUGACAGGUAAAGUAGCUAGGACACCUCACUAUGACAGGUAAAGUAGUCAGGACACCUCACUACCACACUAUGACAGGUAAAGUAGCCAGGACACCUCACUAUGACAGGUAAAGUAGUCAGGACACCUCACUACCACACUAUGACAGGUAAAGUAGUUAGGACACCUCACUAUGACAGGUAAAGUAGUUAGGACACCACACUAUGACAGGUAAAGUAGUCAGGACACCACACUAUGACAGGUAAAGUAGUUAGGACACCUCACUAUGACAGGUAAAGUAGUUAGGACACCUCACUACCACACUAUGACAGGUAAAGUAGCCAGGACACCUCACUACCACACUAUGACAGGUAAAGUAGUUAGGACACCUCACUACCACACUAUGACAGGUAAAGUAGUUAGGACACCUCACUACCACACUAUGACAGGUAAAGUAGUUAGGACACCUCACUACCACACUAUGACAGGUAAAGUAGUCAGGACACCUCACUACCACACUAUGACAGGUAAAGUAGCUAGGACACCUCACUACCACACUAUGACAGGUAAAGUAGUUAGGACACCUCACUACCACACUAUGACAGGUAAAGUAGUUAGGACACCUCACUAUGACAGGUAAAGUAGUUAGGACACCUCACUAUGACAGGUAAAGUAGUUAGGACACCACACUAUGACAGGUAAAGUAGUUAGGACACCUCACUACCACACUAUGACAGGUAAAGUAGUUAGGACACCUCACUACCACACUAUGACAGGUAAAGUAGCCAGGACACCUCACUAUGACAGGUAAAGUAGUUAGGACACCUCACUACCACACUAUGACAGGUAAAGUAGUUAGGACACCUCACUACCACACUAUGACAGGUAAAGUAGUUAGGACACCUCACUACCACACUAUGACAGGUAAAGUAGCUAGGACACCUCACUACCACACUAUGACAGGUAAAGUAGUUAGGACACCUCACUACCACACUAUGACAGGUAAAGUAGUUAGGACACCUCACUACCACACUAUGACAGGUAAAGUAGUUAGGACACCUCACUACCACACUAUGACAGGUAAAGUAGCUAGGACACCUCACUAUGACAGGUAAAGUAGUUAGGACACCUCACUACCACACUAUGACAGGUAAAGUAGUUAGGACACCUCACUAUGACAGGUAAAGUAGCUAGGACACCUCACUACCACACUAUGACAGGUAAAGUAGUUAGGACACCUCACUACCACACUAUGACAGGUAAAGUAGCUAGGACACCUCACUACCACACUAUGACAGGUAAAGUAGUUAGGACACCUCACUACCACACUAUGACAGGUAAAGUAGUUAGGACACCUCACU